AAAGUUUUUAAAGGUAUCGCCGGCAGCCCACGGACCGUGCUCGUUUCAGUCCGGAGAGACCUGAUCUGCUCUUGGGCUAUAUACGCCCUGGGAGUUGAUCGGGGGUCCCCUUCCUACUAGGACUAGUGGGGAUCCGGGCAAGGUUUCUUGCCUUGACAGCUAUGUCAAGAACGUGCCUGUAUGUGUGAGGGCCAAACGGCCAGUUUAAGUGACAGCUGUGGGAAGACGCCCCGAGCCUACUGCAAAGCGAAAGCUCGUGACCGGGAGUGUCUCGAAAGCAAGUCCCACAGCUGAGCUUGGAGAGAUUGUGAAGCUUCCCAGCUGGCAGGCCUUGGUAAGUGGCUAGCCAGCUGAGGUGCGUGCAUGCUUCCCCGUCCUUUUCCCCUUCCCCUUCCAUGACCUAUGACCCUGUGACCGCUCUUCGAGUACUGUCUUGUAAAGGACCGCAGGGUCCUUAUCCUUGCCCUCCGGAGCCAUAAGCUCCCUCCCCUUCUCGGAGAGAAGGAGAGCCCCAGGAAACUGCACCGCUGACUCAUUAGCUCAAGAGGCACCGUUGGCUUGAAGGCUGAUGCUCUGGGCAAGAGAGAAGGCGUGCGGGGACCA